AAAGCAUACUAAAUAAACGGCGUCGUUUUAGAGUUUAUUUUUACAAACAGCCCAAUAAGUAGUGGCCCAUUUAUAUUUUUCAAGUUAAAUAUUCUUAGCAAUCUCAUCCGUCCAUUGUUUGCGUUACCAACCGUAGAUUUUAUCGUCCCAGAGAGAAAUAAAUAAUAUCCUACGUGGAUAAUAGCUUCAGACUCUAGUAGCAAUUUCCCGCCAAAAUCAUAAUUAAGAUCCUAGCCUAGAUAUAGAUGCAACAUUGAGAACUGGAAUCGUCUCUCCUUCCUUUAUUUCGAAAAACCCUAAUUCUCUCUCCGUACCGUUCGUCUCCCCCAAACAAGGUUGCUAUGGACGAUGCUGAUCUCGCCUCCGGCUCCAGCUCAGAUAUGAAGAGGAAACAAAAGCUGGAUGAUUCUGUAGAUGAUGGGGCUCUGGAGGAGGAGAAACGUCGUUAUAGAUCUAUGGCUAAGGUUGCUAUUGGUUAUGGGAUUAAUCCUUCUGUCGAGAACUCGGUCAUUACUGAAAUGGUGCAUACCGUGUGCCCGGAUUUUUCUCUCGAUACUUCUAAACUCAAGACCGCUGUUCUGGAGAUGCACGAAGAAGGUAAAGACAAGGUCAAGAAAAUGCUCAAGGAUGGACAAGGGAAAUUAACACUCUGUUAUGAAUGGUUUUGGACAAGUGAUGACAUUGAUGGACCUAUUUUGAACGCGGAUUUCAUCGGUAUUAGCGCUUAUUUCGCUGAUGAAAACUGGAAGAUGAAGAAAUGGAUCUUGGGGUAUCAUCCUCGUGAGUCAUUGCGUGUGAAGGACAUUUAUGUUGAUUCUAUUAAGAAUGUUAUUCUGGAUUAUGAGAUUGAGAGCAAGGUCUCGACUCUUCUAAUGCCUAACUAUGGUGAUCUUGGUGUUGAAGCGUUUGAUGCUUUUAGAAAAUGGAUAGAAGAGAAAGGGAAAAAUCCGAUCGACUCUCGUGUGUUCCUCAUCUAUUGCUGCUCUGACAUUUUCCGGUUAAUGGUUGAUGAUAUGUUUAAGGACAUAAACAUAUGGCUGAUGGAACGUGUUCGGAUGUUGGUUGGUUGGGGAAGAAUGGUACCGACCAAUUGGGAUGUCACGUUGUAUAAUCUGCAAAAAGCUGUUGAUAUGGAAGCCAAGAAUGUAUUUGAAGAGGAAGAAGAUUACCAGGAUUAUGAACAACCAUCUGAUGAAGAAUGGAUCAAGAUUAAAACUUUUUGCAAACUCGCGGGUUGCAUUUAUAAAGUUGCAAAGGAGCUUUUUGACGGAGAGUAUCCAACAUCUAAUGUCUACUUCCACCUUCUUGCAGAGCUAAAAGUCAUGCUAAACGAAGAGCUCAAGAACGGUGAUAAUGAUUACUUCCUCUGCAAAGCCAAGGAGAUAUUGGAGAGGUUUGAUAAGUACUGGAAUGAUAUGUUCCUGGUUUUGGCAACUGCUUCUGUUUUAGACCCUCGGUUCAAGAUGAAGUAUCUUGAGUUUUACUGUUCAAAGAAUGAAGUUAGCAAUGAAGGUUUAAAAGCUGAAACUGUUGUGGACUAUUUACGCGGUCUAUAUGCUCGCUAUGCAGCUAGUGAUAUCAGUCCACUACCAAAAUGUCCCGAUGCUUCGAUGAACCCAAAUUCCAGUGGUUUGUUUAAAUAUUUGUUCGACGAAGAAGAUGAAGAAGAAGAGGAGGAGAAGAAACCUGAUGGAUACAAGGAUUUUGUUUUGUUUCAAGAAUUUCUCAAGUUUGAAGGAUCUUCAAGGGAGUUUCAAGAAUCAGAACUUGAUUCAUAUCUCAAGGAACCAGUUAUGGAGUGGAAAAAGGACUUCAAUGCAUUGGAAUGGUGGAGAGAAGAGAACUCAAAGUACCCGAUCCUCUCCAGAGUAGCUCGUGACAUUCUCUCCAUUCCGAUCUCUCGUGGAACAUCGCACCGUGCUUAUGUUGCUGACAAGAGAGAGUGUCCUGAUUUUAUCGUCUCCAUGGAGGCCAAACUUGUGAACGCCAUGAUGUGCUGCGAGAGCUGGCCACGACUUUGAUAUGGCCAUUUUGGUAAGAACAUUAAAUGCUAGGGCCUUCAUGAAAACUCAAUAACUCUGUUUAUCAGUAACUAGUAUUGAUGUGUGAAGUUUCUUGACCAAACCUUGUUUCUGGUCACCAAAGUAAAGGUACUUUAAUUUUGUGGAAUGGCUCCUCGCAGUGACUUCUCUGUCCUUUGUCUCGAAGACUAUUUUGAAAGAUUUGAUUAGAUCAAACUUGUUAUCGUUGUUUUUGGUAUUUUUGUCUUAUUGGAUUGAUGACCUCUGAGCUCUAAUCAAAAAUCACAUGUUAGUCGAUCAGUCAUGAUCAUUUAUUGGUUUUUGA